AUUGACUGUAGCCCUCUCCGAAUCCUUGCAACUGAAGUGCGGGGGAAAAGUACGUAUUAUGUCUGUCGACAUUCCAGACAUAAGGGCCUCCCGGGUGGCGCAGUGGUUAAGGGCGCUGUACUGCAGCGCCAGCUGUUCCACCAGAGACUCUGGGUUCGUGCCUAGGCUCUGUCGUAACCGGCCGUGACCGGGAGGUCCGUGGGGCAACGCACAAUUGGCCUAGCGUCGUCCGGGUUAGGGAGGGUUUGGCCGGUAGGGAUAUCCUUGUCUCAUUGCAGUGCGCACCAACCAACUGUUACUGAGUUUGGGUAAUCCAAAUAUUAUGUUACUGAUUACAAUUUUGGACAGGUAACUAGUAACUGUAACGGAUUACAUUUAGAAAGUAGUCUAUCCAAACCUGGUGGCAUGAAUACAAUGUCCAUCACAUGACAGUUCCUCAUGUAACAACUAGGAGAUAUGAAGCAAAUAUGAAGCAAUUGGCUUGAUUUGGAAUGAGGAAGAGAAAGAAGGCAUACCUCUCUAACCUCUAGUUUACCUACUGCCCUCUGUUUUAAUCUACCCAUCUAUUUUACUAUGUAAACUGGCUACAGCCAAGAGACAACCAAUGGAAUUGAGUUGAUUAGCAUGUUGGAUGCUGGUUGGUGGAUACAUUUUGAGAUACGGGACCAGAAUAUGUUUAAAAACAGAGGUGUCCUCUGGAAAGUACAGCGACCAUGAAAACCAUGAAGACACUGAGUGGUGUUCUUCUGCUCUCCCUGAUGUUGGCAGAUGCCACGUUGGGCGACAUUCAGAAGAGGAUCAUCGGGGGGAGGACUGUAAGGACACUGAAAGGCUGUAUCAUGUGCGCAUAGUAUGGCAGGCAGGAAAAUACUUUCUUUAUCAGUGUGGUGGUUCUCUGAUCAGUGACCAGUGGGUUCUAACUGCUGCUCACUGCAGGCCUGGAGGAGUUAAAGGAGUGGUGAGUGUACAUGUGCACAACAGAUAAAGGAUGAAGGAUUGUGAGCAUAACUGUUCAUAAUAGCGUUUACUGUCACCAUCAGAUUGGGGGUGGGUGUGUGUGUGUGUGUGUGUGUGUGUGUGUGUGUGUGUGUGUGUGUGUGUGUGUGUGUGUGUGUGUGUGUGUGUGUGUGUGUGUGUGUGUGUGUGUGUGUGUGUGUGUGUGUGUGUGUGUGUGUGUGUGUGUGUGUGUGUGUGUGUGUGUGAAAAUGUAUUCGCUCACUACUGUAAGUCACUCUGGAUACGAGCGUCAGAUGACUCAAAUGUAAAUGUAAAAAUGUGU
rnacentral:lncRNA from 1 species